rnacentral:rRNA from 1 species
UGGGCUUGACAUCCCACGAACCUGCCCGAAAAGGUGGGGUGCCCGCAAGGGAGCGUGGAGACAGGUGGUGCAUGGCUGUCGUCAGCUCGUGUCGUGAGAUGUUGGGUUAAGUCCCGCAACGAGCGCAACCCUCACCCCUAGUUGCCACCGGGUUAAGCCGAGCACUCAAGGGGAACUGCCAGCGUCAAGCUGGAGGAAGGCGGGGAUGACGUCAAGUCAUCAUGCCCCUUACGCCCUGGGCUACACACGUGCUACAAUGGCCAGUACAAAGGGACGCGAGACUGCGAAGUGGAGCUAAUCCCAAAAAGCUGGUCUAAGUUCAGAUUGCAGUCUGCAACUCGACUGCAUGAAGGAGGAAUCGCUAGUAAUCGCGCAUCAGCCCGGCGCGGUGAAUACGUUCCCGGGCCUUGUACACACCGCCCGUCACACCACGAAAGCUGUCUGUACUCGAAGUCGCUGAG